rnacentral:rRNA from 1 species
UACACACCGCCCGUCACACCAUGGGAGCUGACUCAACCAGAAGACAGUUUGGCUAACCGUAAGGAGGCCGCUGUUGAAGGUGGGGUCGGUGACUGGGGUG